UACGGAGGAUGCAAGCGUUAUCCGGAAUGAUUGGGCGUAAAGCGUCCGCAGGUGGCUAUGUAAGUCUGCUGUUAAAGAGUGAGGCUCAACCUCAUAAGAGCAGUGGAAACUACAUGGCUAGAGUGCGUUCGGGGCAGAGGGAAUUCCUGGUGUAGCGGUGAAAUGCGUAGAGAUCAGGAAGAACACCGGUGGCGAAAGCGCUCUGCUGGACCUAAACUGACACUGAGGGACGAAAGCUAGGGGAGCGAAUGGG
rnacentral:rRNA from 1 species